AAUCCCGAGUAGCAUGGGACACGUGAAAUCCCGUGUGAAUCUGCGAGGACCACCUCGUAAGGCUAAAUACUCCUGAGUGACCGAUAGCGAAAUAGUACCGCGAGGGAAUGGUGAAAAGAACCCCUGUGGGGGAGUGAAAUAGAACAUGAAACCGUACGCUGACAAGCAGUGGGAGGUCCGUAAGGGCUGACCGCGUGCCUAUUGAAGAAUGAGCCGGCGACUUAUAGGGAGUGGCUUGGUUAAGGAGUUUAAUCCGGAGCCGAAGCGAAAGCAAGUCUGAAUAGGGCAAAUAUAGUCACUUCUUAUGGACCCGAACCCGGGUGAUCUAAUCAUGACCAGAUUGAAGCAUGGGUCACACCUUGUGGAGGAUCGAACACACCAAUGUUGAAAAAUUGGGUGAUGAGUUGUGAUUAGGGGAGAAAUUCCAAUCGAACUCGGAGCUAGCUGGAUCUCCCCGAAAUGCGUUGAGGCGCAGCGGUAACGAUGAGCUGUCUAGGGGUAAAGCGACUGUUUCGAUGCGGGCUGCGAAAGCGGUACCAAGUCGUGGCAAACUCAGAAUACUAGCAAAGCCUUCCGUGAACCAGUGAGUGAUGGGGCGAUAAGGUUCUGUCACAAAAGGGAAACAGCCCAGAUCACCAGCUAAGGCCCCAAAAUGGUCACUAAGUGGAAAAGGAUGUGAGAAUGCUAAAACAACUAGAAAGUUCGCUUAGAAGCAGCUACCCUUUAAAGAGUGCGUAAUAGCUCACUAGUAAAGCGUUCUUGCGCCGACAAUGGCCGGGACUAAGUGACCUGCCGAAGCUGUGGUAUAUUU
rnacentral:rRNA from 1 species